UACGGAGGGUGCAAACGUUGUCCGGAAUCACUGGGCGUAAAGCGCAUGCAGGUGGACCUGUACGUGAAUGAUUAAAGACCGCCGCUUAACGGCGGGAAUGUUUUUCACACGGCAGGACUUGAGGGUGGCAGGGGUAAGCGGAACUUUGAGUGUAGGAGUGAUAUCCGUAGAUAUUCAAAGGAACACCAAUGGCGAAGGCAGCUUACUGGGCCAUUUCUGACACUCAGAUGCGAAAGCGUGGGGAGCAAACGGG
rnacentral:rRNA from 1 species